rnacentral:rRNA from 1 species
AGCAGCCGCGGUAAUUCCAGCUCCAAUAGCGUAUAUUAAAGUUGUUGCAGUUAAAAAGCUCGUAGUUGAAUUUCGGGGUCAGUAGGUUGGUCAUGCCACUGGUAUGUACUGGUCUCACUGAUUCCUCCUUCCUGAUGAGCCGUAAUGCCAUUAAUUUGGUGUUGCGAGGAAUCUGGACUGUUACUUUGAAAAAUUAGAGUGUUUAAAGCAGGCUGACGCUUGAAUGCAUUAGCAUGGAAUAAUGAAAUAGGACGUUCGAUCUUAUUUUGUUGGUUUCUAAGAUUGACGUAAUGAUUAAUAGGGAUAGUUGGGGGCAUUAGUAUUCAAUUGUCAGAGGUGAAAUUCUUGGAUUUAUUGAAGACUAACUACUGCGAAAGCAUUUGCCAAGGAUGUUUUCAUUAAUCAAGAACGAAAGUUAGGGGAUCGAAGACGAUCAGAUACCGUCGUAGU